GACGAACGCUGGCGGCGUGCUUAACACAUGCAAGUCGAACGGAAAGGCCUGCUUUCCCUUGUGGAUUGCGGGUACUCGAGUGGCGAACGGGUGAGUAACACGUGAGUGAUCUGCCCCCAACUUGGGUAUAAGCCUGGGAAACUGGGUCUAAUUCCCGAUAGGACUGCAGGGUGGUGCCUGUGGUGGAAAACGAUUUUCUAGUGGUUGGGGAUGAGCUCGCGGCCUAUCAGCUUGUUGGUGGGGUAAUGGCCUACCAAGGCGGCGACGGGUAGCCGGCCUGAGAUGGUCGACGGCGAAAUUGGGACUGAGAUACGGCCCAGACGCCUACGGGAGGCAGGAGUGGGGAAUAUUAGAGAAUGGGCGGAAGCCUGAUGCAGCGACGCCGCGUGGGAGAUGUCGGCGUUCGGGUUGUAAACUCCUUUCGACCGCGAGGAAGCCACCUGGUUGGAAGGGUGGUGACGGUAGUGGUAGAAGAAGCACCGGCUAACUACGUG
rnacentral:rRNA from 1 species